CUGGAAACCAAAUGUCACACAUGUUGUUGCAACAACUGAUGUAAAGGGUGCAUGCACCAGAACAAUGAAAGUUCUCAUGGCGAUUUUGAGUGGAAAAUGGAUCCUAACUAUGGACUGGGUAAAAGCUUGUGUUGCAGCAAAUGGUCCAGUAAAUGAAGAACUUUAUGAAAUAAGUCUAGACAAUUAUGGCCGUUCUGGGGGCCCCAAAGCUGGAAGGUUGAUGGCCUCAACUAAUGGGCCAAAGCUUUUUGAUGGUUUCGAGUUUUAUUUUAUUGGAGAUUUUAUGCCAGAUUACAAAAGUGACCUGUUAGAUCUAGUCGAGAAGGCUGGAGGCAGUGUCAUUCACAGUGAGGAGCAGUUGGUGAAACAGAAUCAUGCUGCACAGGAAACUCAGCCAUCUUCUCUAGUCGUAUAUAACUGUGAUCUAUCGCAAGGUUGCUUUGAAGAAAAAAUCAGAAUUUUGCUGCAAAGAUUAGCAGAAGCUGAGGAUCUAGCCGAGCAAAUGGGUUCUCAGACCGUUCAGCAUACUUGGAUUCUGGAAUCUAUUGCUGCAUGUAAAUUGGUACCUUUCUGCUGAUGAGUGAUCGCAACAAGUUUUUUGUGCAACUGAAAUACUUCCACUUGUGGCAGAAGAACAAAAGUAGUUGUACAUUUUCUGCACCUGGGAAAUAUAGUUGAAUCUUAAAUGCUAAAUUUUGUGUAUAAAUGUGAAAGAGAUAUUACAACCUUGGUUUCAAGUUCUAACAAUUUAUUCAAAUUGGACUAAACCCAAUAUAUUUAUCCUGAAAAUA
rnacentral:misc_RNA from 1 species